AUCAUUAGUUUUUUAAUUGAAAAMUUGUAUGAAUGGUUGAAUGAAAAAUUAACUUUUUUAAAAAAAUAAUUGAAUUUUACUUUUUAAUUAAAAGGUUAAAAUAAAUUUAAAAGACGAGAAGACCCUAUAGAGUUUUAUAAUUUUUAUUUAAUAUUUAAAAAGAUUAAUUAAAAUUUUAUAAAAGAAAAUAUUUUGUUGGGGUGAUAAUAAAAUUUAAAUAACUUUUAUUUUUUUUUUACAUUAAUAUAUGAAUUUAUGAUCCAUUAUUGAUGAUUAUAAAUUUAAAUUACCUUAGGGAUAACAGCGUAAUUUUUUUUUAAAGUUCAUAUUAAUAAAAAAUUUUGCGACC
rnacentral:rRNA from 1 species